UACGUAGGGGGGCAAGCGUUGUCCGGAUUUAUUGGGCGUAAAGCGCACGCAGGCGGUCUUUUCGCGUUUUUGAGUGACAGGUCAGGGCUUAACCCUGGCAGGCCUUGAAAUACGGGAAGACUUGAGGGCUUCAGAGGGACGCGGAAUUCCAGGUGGAGCGGUGGAAUGCGCAGAUAUCAGGGAGGAACACCAAUGGCGAAGGCAGCUCGCUGGGGACGGUACUGACGCUGAGGUGCGAAAGCGUGGGGGAGCGAACAGG
rnacentral:rRNA from 1 species